rnacentral:rRNA from 1 species
UGGGGAAUUUUGGACAAUGGGCGAAAGCCUGAUCCAGCAAUGCCGCGUGUGUGAAGAAGGCCUUCGGGUUGUAAAGCACUUUUGUCCGGAAAGAAAUCCUUGGCUCUAAUACAGUCGGGGGAUGACGGUACCGGAAGAAUAAGCACCGGCUAACUACGUGCCAGCAGCCGCGGUAAUACGUAGGGUGCAAGCGUUAAUCGGAAUUACUGGGCGUAAAGCGUGCGCAGGCGGUUUGCUAAGACCGAUGUGAAAUCCCCGGGCUCAACCUGGGAACUGCAUUGGUGACUGGCAGGCUAGAGUAUGGCAGAGGGGGGUAGAAUUCCACGUGUAGCAGUGAAAUGCGUAGAGAUGUGGAGGAAUACCGAUGGCGAAGGCAGCCCCCUGGCCAAUACUGACGCUCAUGCACGAAAGCGUGGGGAGCAAACAGGAUUAGAUACCCUGGUAGUCCACGCCCUAAACGAUGUCAACUAGUUGUUGGGGAUUCAUUCCUUAGUAACGUAGCUAACGCGUGAAGUUGACCGCCUGGGGAGUACGGUCGCAAGAUUAAAACUUAAAGGAAUUGACGGGGUCAUAGCUGUUUCCU